AGUCUUUUUGCCCUGAAGUUCACUCUUCAUCGUUUCCUUCUCUUCCUCUUCAUCCCUUCCUUUUCUUCUUCAUAUUUCCAGAAAAUUUUAAUUUUGUUCUUGAGAAAAUUCUUUUUUGAUUACAAACACUAAACCCUAAGGAAUGAUACUAAAACUCAAACAAAAUAAUUAAAUGAACCGUUUGAGAUAUAAAAAACGGAUGAACCAAUUACGAAAUAAAAAUUUGAGAUCUUAUCAUUGUCUUCUUCGAGCUCGUUUAUCAUGAUACGUGAGUCAUGACCAUCACUUCUCACCGCCG